GGGAAUAUUGCACAAUGGGCGAAAGCCUGAUGGAGCAACGCCGCGUGAGCGAUGAAGGCCUUCGGGUUGUAAAGUACUUUCAGCGGGGAGGAAGGUGUUGAGGUUAAUAACCUCAGCAAUUGACGUUACCCGCAGAAGAAGCACCGGCUAACUCCGUUCCAGCAGCCGCGGUAAUACGGAGGGUGCAAGCGUUAAUCGGAAUUACUGGGCGUAAAGCGCACGCAGGCGGUCUGUCAAGUCGGAUGUGAAAUCCCCGGGCUCAACCUGGGAACUGCAUCUGAUACUGGCAAGCUUGAGUCUCGUAGAGGGGGGUAGAAUUCCAGGUGUAGCGGUGAAAUGCGUAGAGAUCUGGAGGAAUACCGGUGGCGAAGGCGGCCCCCUGGACGAAGACUGACGCUCAGGUGCGAAAGCGUGGGGAGC
rnacentral:rRNA from 1 species